UACGGAGGAUGCGAGCGUUAUCCGGAUUUAUUGGGUUUAAAGGGUGCGUAGGCGGAUCGUUAAGUCAGUGGUCAAAUUGAGGGGCUCAACCCCUUCCCGCCAUUGAAACUGGCGAUCUUGAGUGGAAGAGAAGUAUGCGGAAUGCGUGGUGUAGCGGUGAAAUGCAUAGAUAUCACGCAGAACCCCGAUUGCGAAGGCAGCAUGCCGGCUUCCUACUGACGCUGAAGCACGAAAGCAUGGGUAGCGAACAGG
rnacentral:rRNA from 1 species